rnacentral:rRNA from 1 species
GAUGAACGCUGACAGAAUGCUUAACACAUGCAAGUCGACUUGAACCUCGGUAUGGGCGGCGGACGGCGGAGUAACGCGUAAGGAACUUGCCGCACAGAUAGGGACAACAUUUUUAAACGAAGGCUAAUACCUGAUAUUAUGAUUUUAGGGCAUCCUAGGAUUAUGAAAGCUAUAUGCGCUGUGAGAGAGCUUUGCGUCCAAUUAGCUAGUAGGAGAGGUAACGGCUUACCAAGGCGAUGAUGGGUAGCCGGCCUGAGAGGGUGAUAGGGCACAAGGGGACUGAGACACGGCCCUUACGCAUACGGGGGGCAGGAGUGGGAAAUAUAGGAAAAUGGACCAAGAGUCUGAUCCAGCAAUUCUGUGUGCAAGAUGAAGUUUUUCGGAAUGAAAAGUGCUUUCAGUUGGGAAGAAAAAAAUGACGGUACCCAAAGAAGAAGUGACGGCUAACUACGUG